UACGUAGGGGGCAAGCGUUGUCCGGAUUUACUGGGCGUAAAGAGCGUGUAGGCAGCCACGCAGGUCCGUUGUGAAAACUGGAGGCUCAACCUCCAGCUGUCGACGGAAACCGUGUGGCUAGAGUCCGGAAGAGGAGAGUGGAAUUCCUGGUGUAGCGGUGAAAUUCGUAGAUAUUAGGAAGAACACCAGUGGCGAAGGCGGCUCACUGGCCCGGUACUGACGCUGAGGCGCGAAAGCGUGGGGAGCAAACAGG
rnacentral:rRNA from 1 species